rnacentral:tRNA from 1 species
GCCUUCGUAGCUCAGUGGUAGAGCUGCCGCCUCUUAAGCGGUAGGUCGUUGGUUCGAAUCCAGCCGGGGGCA